AAAUUGUAUUACGCGAUUUGUCAUUUUUAAAUUCCUAAAAUGAAUCACUUUGAAUGCCUUGCUGAUAAAAUGUACUACAUAAUGUUUCCUUGCCUUAUUAUUGUCUAAUACAUUAUUUGCUGUCAAAUAAUUAUAGUUUUAAUCACAAAUUAUUACAUUUCCGGGUUGUCUGGACUGCAUUACUGAUGGACCAAUCAUUGAUGAGUUUGCCUUAGUGGGCGUGUCUUCAGCGGUAACCACAGUGACAGACGUGCGUCACUCGAGCGUUAAAAACUUGUUCUUUCAACUUGAAAGCGGAAACUUUUUCAGUCUCUAAUAUUCCUGUGAAUAAGAGCACGUUUACCUGCGCUUUGGACAGAAAUAACAACAUUUAUACUUCUGAUAAACAAACGAUGGACAAACUAUUCCAAACACCUUCGAUGAGGACUGUCAUCGUUCUCAAUUUCCUAAGGAAUGCGAGUCAGAUGCGUCACCAUCCGUACCUUUACGCCCAGGCCUGCACUGAUUUUACAAUGGACUGGCCGUCCUGCAGGCGACCACGGCCUGUAUUUUCAAUGUAUGGACCUCCCAUCUCUGAACCAGGUUGUGGUGGUACCCACACCGGGGAGGAAGGAGGCCAUCUGUGGGAUCAACAACACAUCUUGCCUGGCAGCAUGAGCCAACCUCCUGAGGUCACUGAAAGCAUUUGCUCUCCAAACCAGCUCAGCUUUGCUUCCACUGAUCCUAAUGCAGCUCAUGUCUCUGACAUUGUUGGAAACCUAUUCCUCUACAGCCCUAUUUCUGACUUAUCUGGAUGUGUGGCUGAUGGCUUCCCUCUGCAGAGACAAACUGUUACUGAAGCUGAGGAACAGAAUGUUUAACCCCAACAAAACCUUGACUCUGUUUUUAGGCCAAGUUACAGACGAUCCUCCAGCUCAGAGAAUGCUCAACCUGUGAACACUUGUAGUGUAAAUAUAUAAUGUAUAUAAUCCUCAUAUCCCUUUUAUCAAAUCAAAUAUUCAGUAUUUAAAAUGUGAUGUGUUAUUUAAACUGUUUUACACUUUUUUAAAGAAUACUACUCUCUAAAAAUCUUCAUAUUCAUGCUUCUUAGGUGGAAAAAUUAUAUGUGUGAUGAAAUAAAAAUGAGUGGAUGACAAUAAUAUGUCUUUGU
rnacentral:lncRNA from 1 species